UACAGAGGUCCCAAGCGUUGUUCGGAUUCACUGGGCGUAAAGGGUGCGUAGGUGGUGAGGUAAGUCGGAUGUGAAAGCUCGGAGCUCAACUCCGAAAUGGCAUUGGAAACUACCUCGCUAGAGGAUCGGAGGGGAGACUGGAAUUCUCGGUGUAGCAGUGAAAUGCGUAGAUAUCGAGAGGAACACCAGUGGCGAAGGCGAGUCUCUGGACGAUUCCUGACGCUGAGGCACGAAGCGCGGGGAGC
rnacentral:rRNA from 1 species